ACCAAUCUAAUUUGGAGAAGAUGAUGGGCAUUGAACAAACUCCACAUGGAGAUUACUUUGUUUGUUUCAAAAGUUAGCCACUGGGCAAGAAAGUGUCCUUGCUUUGACUGCUGAAAGUAUGAUGUCCAAAUUGGACCACCAGAACACAAAAGAAAGGACUGCCAAAGCAAAACUUUGCCAAGACAAGGCAUAAAGAAAUAAGGUACUAUUAGAAACAAAGGAUAUUACAGACAGUAGGAGCCACUGGGGACAGAGUUGGCCCCACGUGCACGAGAGUGAGACAACUGUCCCUGCCCCUCACCAGCUGCAGCAUAUGGAAGAGCGAGCCUGGUCCCUUGCCUGGGCAGCACUCUAGAGCUGACCUUGUGCAGGUUCACUCUCCUACACAUGGACUUUUCUUAGAAAGCUUGAUGGAAGCUUCCAUGACCUGUAACUCCUGUGCUCUGAAUUCCUAAAAAGAAAAUGGAUGUCAUCAUCUGCUCAACAGUGACAGAAUGUCCUUCAACUACAGCUAUAGAGGCAUCUAAGUGCCUGGGUGGCUGAACAAACAUGAAAUAAAUCACAAAGAAACAAUUUCCUAGGUGUUUGUGUGUGAGCAGCCUCCUGGAGACCAUCAUCUUCUCAAGAAAAUGUGUUUUAAGUGAAAUUAUGAAUUUGUGCAUUCAGCUGGACAUGGCUGAUGUUUUGCUCAUUGCUAAAAUGCCCCCAAGACAUUGUGGCUGCUGUUCCAGUGAAAAAAGUUUAGGUUCUUUUAAUGGCUGUAUUAGUUACUUUUCUAUUGCUGCGAUACAAUGCGAUGGCCAAGGCAACUUGUAAAAGGAAAGUUUUAUUUGGGCCUAAAAGUUCCACAGGGAGCACACUACCAUGGUAAGGAGCACAAUAGUAGGCAGGCAGGCAUGUCACUGAUGGAUCGGCUCAGAGCUCACAUCCUGAUACAUGAACAAUCAGAGAGCACACUAGGGAUAAAGAGAGACUUCUAAAUUGUUAAGCUUACCCUGAGUGACCUACCACCUCCAACAAAAGCCACACCUCCUAAUCUUUCCCAAAUAGCCACAACAGGGAGCCAUGGAUUCAGAUGCGUGAGAUUUAUGUGGGAAAUCUCAUUCAAACCACUAGAACUACAAGCUCUUCAGAAAACUUGGCUUCUCCAGUCUUUACUAUACAUUUGCUUUCCUGACCAAAUUAGAGUAUUUCAAAUCUUCAGAAUCUGCUUUUUACUCUUGCUUCUUAUUUCAAAUCUGAAAAAAAAAAAACAAUCCAGAAAUGGCCAAGCAACAAACUGAAUGCUUGACCAUCUGAAAUUCCAACCACCAGAUUAAUUAGUCCAUUACAUUUAAACUUACUCUCCCACAGUCUCAAAACCUGGAUUAAAUAUAGUCAUAUUGGUUUGUUUUGAUAAAAUGUAACACAAAUAUCCUCCAAUCCAAUUCCCAAUAAUUCAUUGCAGCUGGAACACAGUGAACCCAAUCUUUUAAACCUACCUAUUUUAAACAAUUUGUUCUUCUGAGUUCUAUUCUCUUAAUUCUUUUCAUGGUACCUCAACAUUUUUCUAGCAUGCUUCUCUAUACCUUGCCACAUUCAUCCCACAAACUAGUUCUGAAUCACAUGGUCAGGAACUCACAGCAAUGCUUCCUAUUUCUUGCUAUUAAUUAUGUGUAUUAGUCUGGUUUCAUGUUGUUUUGACAAAUUGAAACAAUUUAAAGGAGUAAAGACUUAUUUAACUA